rnacentral:rRNA from 1 species
UACGUAGGGGGCAAGCGUUGUCCGGAAUCAUUGGGCGUAAAGCGCGUGUAGGCGGUCCGGUAAGUCCGCUGUGAAAGUCGGGGGCUCAACCCUCGGAUGCCGGUGGAUACUGUCGGGCUUGAGUACGGAAGAGGCGAGUGGAAUUCCUGGUGUAGCGGUGAAAUGCGCAGAUAUCAGGAGGAACACCAAUUGUGAAGGCAGCUCGCUGGGACGUUACUGACGCUGAGACGCGAAAGCGUGGGGAGCAAACAGG